AAAACAUUUCAACACUUCACUUUACUAAAAAGUCGUGGUGAAUCCAGACCGUAAUGAGCUUCUUGUUUAUUACAAUAGUCACUUUGUUAAUAAUUUACAUACUACAGCGCCGAUGCCUUCGGGAUCAGCAUGCAAAGUAUUUGGUAUUAGUUUACCGAUUCUGGAAUGUAAGGCUAAUUGUCAAAGUUCUCUUAUAUUAUACAACUUCGGGGAGUGUGAGAAUGGACUUUCGUGCUGUGUUCCAAGUCCUUGAAACUGUAGUUGGUAAAAAUCAAUAAAUAUAAAUGAUCGUCAAUUGACGAAGAUCUGGAUUGUGCUGUGGUUUAGUGAGUUGCACUAGUGUGUUGGAUUGGUUCACGUCAAAAAGUUGACCACUGUUGCAGGUUCUGCAUGCAGGUGAUAUUGUAUAUAGUCUUAAUAAACAUAUUUUUCCAAAAUAUAACAUA